CACACCUGCAGGGACCAGCAGGACCAUGAGAUCCCGCAUCCAUCAGCUGAGAACCACUGGAUGAUCCGUGAAGACUUGUGAGUGAUGGAGCACCAACCAGACAUGAGGAGGCUGCCAUCCCGAUGGCUGGAUCACAUGGCUCUCCCCCCGCCUCGAGCAGGCAUCUCGUCUCCGCAGGUGGACUGUGCGCAGCCGGGCGGGGCUGGGCCUCUCCGCACACAUCUGCGUGUCCCUCAGUGCCAAGCGCAGGUGAGCCUUCAGUUAGCGUCUGUUACCUGCUUCUUCCCACAUUCCAGCUGGUUCUUCCCAUAGCCGUAGAAGGCGUCGCUCCCACUCGGUUCCUGAAGUCAUGCUCGGAGCACCCUUGAGCCUUCCCUCCUCGUCACCCUCACACGGCCAGCUACUGCUGGAGGUCCUCCCUGCUUUCCUUCCCCUGCACCACUGCAAACCCCAGCAGCUCUCGCCCCGUCCACUGCUGGAGCCUCGUAGCUGCCCUCCUCCCGCUGCUCUUACCCCU
rnacentral:lncRNA from 1 species